UCCCUCAUCAGCCGUUACAUGUGCCUCUCUCAUCCCUUUUCUCUUUCAAGCAAAGCUCCAAUAUCCCUCAACCAUGGACAGCUUUUGUCCAUCUAUUUUCGAGCAAGAGGGAUCCAUCUCUUUCAUCCACGUCUGGUGUAUUUCAGAGGUUCUAUGAAGACUUUCCUAUUUUAUACUCAAAACGCACCAGCUCCUAAAAAAUCUUAAACAAAAUCUCACUGUUUCGGGUUAUGAUCUGACGCAUAUCUUUGCAAAUUUCAAACGGGUCUCUUGACUCGAUUUUGAAUAUCAAAUCUUUCAAUUCCCGCUCAGCAAACACAAACCCUAUCCUAGUUUCUCAUCUAUAAAUACUCUCUCAUAAUAGUAGCCGCACCACGUUUUUUUUUUAACAUCUGUGAACACCACCGCACCAAAUACAAUCUCUACACAUUUUGAACUCUAAGAACCUUAAAUUUCUAAAGUUCCUCUUUCAGUUGGACUUUAACCGUGAUAGAGAUUUUUAGAACUCAUUGGUGUCUAGUUUCGAAUCUGUUCAUAACGAGAGAGUAGAUUCGCCCGACGUCCCCGUUCACUGCACCAACAAAAGCACAUACAGGAUCUUGGGCUGAAGCUUACCCUGAGAUAAUCACUUGUGCAAAUAUGUUCUGGUGGCCUGCUGGUAGUCCAGCUCUUGCAGCUGAACCAGGCACUGGUCAACUGAACCCCUUGAUUCCCAAGAUCUAUGAAGUUCCCAAGGAUGUCAUCCACGAUACUGUUGCCAUGUUUCCAGAUUCAUUCUUUCAGGCGGGAGCGGAUGAGAUCAAUUCAGCCUGUUGGAAUACUGAUCCAUCAAUCCAAAAGUUUGUUUCUAGCAAUGGAACUCUCUGUCAGCUACUCUAGAAGUUUAUCUAUAAUACCUUACCUGAAAUCCUCUCACUCAAACGUACAGUGGUGUACUGGGAGGAUGUUAUAUUGAAUACUAAUGUGAAAGUGAAUCCAUGUCUGCUUCCUCCAGAGAAUGUUAUUAUGCAAACUUGGAAUAAUGGACCAAACAAUGCAAAACAGCUUGUCACUUCUGGCUACCGUGUCAUUGUGUCGUCUGCAGAUUACUAUUACUUGGAUUGUGGUCAUGGGAGCUUCGUUGGAAAUGACAGCCGCUAUGACCAGCCAUCAGGUACUGACCAAGGCAAUGGUGGAUCCUGGUAUGGGCCUUCCAAGACCUGGGAAACCAUUUACAACUAUUAUAUAACCUAUGGCCUGACUGAUGAGGAGGCUCAAUUGGUAAUUGGAGGGGAAGUAGCAUUAUGGUCAGAACAAGCUGGUUCAACUGUUAUGGACUCACGAAUUUGGCCGAUAGCAUCAGCAAUGGCAGAAACAUUGUGGUCAGGGAAUCGCGAUGAAACCGGGAUGAAGAGAUAUGCAGAGGCUACUGAUCGACUAAAUGAAUGGAGGUACAGAAUGGUUGCUAGGGGAAUAGGUGCUGAACCGAUUCAGCCACUUUGGUGUCUCAAAAAGCCAGGCAUGUGUAACACAGUUCAUCCAUUUACUAGCUGACUCUUUAUCAGUGUGUACUGGUCUCUUUUUCAGUUUGUUUUCCACUUCCUCUCAGUGUUCAUUCAAAACUGAAAAGAGGGCUAUUUAUCUGUAUUAUCUUCUAUAUAUUCAAAGUCAGUUUCUUAUUGUAAUAUUACCUUCUAUGUCACCACAUUACUGAGAUUUUACUAAGCAAAUGAAUUUGAGAAUUUUUUACA